UUUUUUUAUCUUUUUUAGUAGUUUUUUUUUAUCUUUUUUAUCUGUUUUUUGUAUUUUAGUAGUUUUUUUAAUCUGUUUUUUGUAUUUUAGUAGUUUUUUUUUACCUGUUUUUAUUUUUUUCAAUAAUUUGUUGACCGCUCGGGACGUGUCCGGUUAGAACGGUUGAAUCAGUUGGUCUACGUCAUUAGAAAAAAAAAAAAAAAAAGGAUUCCAAGUUUUGAAAAUUGUGCAUUUUGUAAUGCAUUUUUGGAUGUCAAUUUUGAAGAUUUUCAUAGAUUUGCUUGAGCUACACUAAUUUUUAAGCUUUAAAUUUUAUAUUUAGAGUUGAAAAUAAAAUUUUAAGGUUAUCAAUUUGUAGUAUUGAAACAACAUUUCUUAACUUUAUUUGAAGGUGUGUUUUAUUUUUUAUUGUUUAGAGCCUCGGUGCAUUUUAUUUAGAUUGUUUAGAGCGUCAGGCUUUAUAUGAACCGCACCCAAUUGUUAAUGGUUCAAACAUCUCUUAUUUUUUCUUUUCCAUUUUAAUUAGAAACCUAAAAAAAAAACACUUAAAUUAUGUUUAUUUGACAGCGGUUGAGAAAAAAGUUACGAUGAUGAUGAAAUUAUGUUUUUGGUCUAGUCCUCAGGUUAUGAAAGUUGAAUAGCUCUGCACUAAUCAACUUGGUGCUAACUGAUAAGUAUAGGAGUUUUGCAUCGGCCAUCGGAUAUUUAAUAGAAACGGCAGAAUUAGUGAUAUGGAAUGUCAUGAAAAAUUAAUUAAAAAACAUUUAAAAGAUGGAAAUCUGGGUAGAGGGACCCUGAUCGUCGAUCCAGUUGCCAAAGGGACGAACCUAAGAAGAUAGCGAAAAAACAAAACUGAGCGUACUUUGUGAUUUAGCCGAGCCGACGCCCUUUCCUUGCUGUAAACGCAUUUCCCUGCCUCAAAUACUACGUUUAAAUUGGAUGAGUAAAAUCUACUUGUUAAAGACUCAAGUCGAUAAGUGGUAAUCUUUUAAGGAAAGGUUUAUACAGGGAUGAGGCUCUAAACAAUCGAAUGAACUAAAAAAUUCACUAGAAGGGGUUUUGAUCAAUGUUGUCAGAUUUGUUAUUUUUUUUUUUUUUUUUUGCUUUGCCCUAAUCUUCUGCUGAAUUGGCUUGAAGCUGAUUGAAGCGGCCAAAAUUUCAUCGCUUUGGCCUAAUCUUUGGCUGAUUGGCCCAAUUUUGACUGCUUUGGCCUAAUCUUUGGCUGAUUGGCCCAAAUUUGAUUACUUCAAUCUAAUUUUCAGUCAAAUCGGCUUGAAUCGGAUCAAAGCGGCCCAGAUUUGAC
rnacentral:lncRNA from 1 species